CUUUACAGUUCUCAUGCCAGAAAGCAGGAAGUGCAGAGCUAUCUUCAAGCACAUGUAGUAAGAAGCUGUGAAGUUUAGCUGAGAAGCACAUGGUGAAUUGUUAUUGAAGAUAAAGGGUGAAGUGGGGAAAGACUUUACUUGCUGGGCAUUUCCAGGGAUGCUACUGGUAGGAUGAUGGUUUUGAUGUUAAUAUAUUUCAGUUGUUUAAUGUUAAAUGCAAAUUUUGUUGAUAAGAGUGCUAAAGUUAACAUAGCUAAUUUCUAACUGCCUUGUUCUCAUGUUAGCUCAUGUAAUAGCAUGAUAGUAGUAGCAUGGGAGUAAAACCACGGUAGUGACUGUGCCUUUGUAGUAAUGUUGCAUAGUUAAAUGAAUGUAAGGUUAAGGAGAACUUUAUAUUUGUUUGUAUAUUUGAAGGUAGGCAGUUUUUGGUAAUUGCUGUAUUUUGUGUUUUGUUUUCUCUUUCUUGUAAAGGUUUUCAACCUGACGCAAUCUGACAUAGCCUGAUGUAAACUGAUUUAAUCUGAGUUAAACUUCUGAUUAUUUGCACAACUGCAAAUUGUAACCAGAUCUAACUAAUAACAAAUCAUAAUUGAACAUGAGAAGCUAACUAAAUAAAACAAAGAAGAAAGAUUAAAGAAGAAAACGUGUGAGUUGAUUCCAACUGAUCUAACCCUGUUGAUGACCAAGGCCUUUUUCAAGUUUGGGCAGAAGUAAAGUAGAAAAUCCCCUGAGAACUUGACAGUUGAAAACCACCGGCACAGUUGAAAAGCAACUGCACAGUUGAGAAGCAACACUGCAGUACAGCUGAAGACUGGCGUUGUGCCACCUGAAACCCACCACAGUGCUGCUUGAUAACCAAGGAACUGCAUCAAGGCUAGAAGAUUAACGGCUUCAGUGAGUCCAGAGAGUGGAUGCAGAGAAGAGUUGCUGAACAACAAGGUUAUUCAAGAGGCACCAGGAAUCCAAUCAAUUCAUCUGAUUCAUUAAUUCAAGAGUUGAAGAGAAAAGAAUUGUUAAAAUCAAGAUGGCAGUCGAAGCUCUCGGCAAAACACUGGAGCAGUUAAAGAAAGACAGAACAGUUGCAAAGAUCUCCUUUACAAAGCAAGCGAACUAUCUCUGCCGAAAAGCAGGUGAUUUAACUGAGUUAGAACUCAGACAAGAAUUUAUGAAGCUCUCUGCCGAUUCAAGGAAAGUCAUUGAGGCCAAUGAUGAUUACAGGAUUGGGUUAGAAGCAGAGCUUGUAAGCAAUAAAGAAGGUGAAGAUGCUGAGCUUAGUAUGGAGCAGGAUGCAAGCCUAAAGGACUAUGCCAGUGAAUGUGAGCAAAAGUUCAAUGAUGUGAAGCAGAUUGUUCAAACAAGCCUCUGGAGCAGAUAUGGAUCAGAAAUGCUAGAGGCUGCUUUUGAAGAAGCAGAAAAAGCCAGUAGGCAUGCGUAUGGAAUACCUGUGGAAAGCAGUAACUGUGAAGGAUUUGAAGUCCACCAUACUGUACUGGAAAAGUUGAUCAAAGAAACAUCUAGCGCAUUCGCAGCCUGGGAGUCAUGGAUACCUAGUGCAGAGGAAAGUGACUUUCGUAAGCGAAGCAAGGACCUGAGAGUGGCUUACAAUGAGCUUGACAUGAGGAAAGCUGACUUUGCCAGAGCACGAAGGAUUGCUGUAGAGAAGCAAGGUGCAGACGUGAAUCAGGAACCAACUGGGCCAAGAAUACCAGUAGUGAAAAUUAAGCCAACCAAACUGCCCACGUUUAGUGGCUAUAAAAGAGACUUCCACCGCUGGAAGUCAGACUGGGAAAGCCUUCAGAAGCAGGGAGAGCCAACCGGUUCGCCAGAGGUCAAAAAGAUUCAGCUUCUUGAUAGUGUAGAAGAAAAGAUUGUGAAAGAUCUUCGCCUGUCAACCUACAGCACAGCAGAUGAUGUUUUCAGAGUGCUAGCAAAUAGGUAUGGUAAUAAAUAUGCCAUCGCUCUAGAAAUCGUUGAAGAGCUUGAGAAGAUUUUACCUGUUAAAGGAAAUCAACCUAGAAAAGUAGUAGACCUUAUCCAGACCAUAGAGAAAGCACUUGCUGAUCUCACAGAUCUAGGAAGUACCGGCGCCAUCAAAAACCCACUGGUGGUGAAGUCGUUAGAGAGCAAGCUUCCAGAGUUUGUGAAGAAGGACUGGCUGAUGUUCAUGGUGGACCCUAGCAACGGUGUGACUCAAGACAACCACUUUGAUAUGCUCCUAGCUUUUCUGAAGAAGCAGGAGGAGAUCUUUGAGAGGCUAGAUCACCUACGAAUCACAGACAAGCCAGAGAAGACAGACAAAGCAGAAAGGAAGUUCAAAAAGAAAUAUGCCUCGACUAAAGCCACAAAGAAAGAGGAUUCUGAGGAUGGGUGCAUUAUCUGUGGAGAUGAGAAACAUAAGGACAGGAUUUUCUUCUGCAAGAAGUUCAAGGGUCUGAAGCUAUCAGAAAAGGAAGCUGCUGUGAAAAGGACUGGUGCAUGCAGGGAGUGCUUGGGAUGCCAUAAGUCUGAUGAUGGCUGCAGAGACACCUAUCUGUGCAGAAAUGCAGACUGCAAGAAAAGAGGCUCCUCGGAUCACCACUUCUUUCUCUGUCCAAGAGGAAACAACAAGAGACGUGAACUUGAGAGACCUCAGACAGAGGACAGAGACAAAAAGAGCUUAACUGAGGAACAGAAGAAAUUCUUGUGUGAACUUACCCCAGAGUUAGCUGAUAGAUGCAGGAAGGCCUUCACCAAUAACUCGUUGAAGGUUAGCUGUCCUGCCAAGUGCCAGGUGAGCCUCCUCAAAGAAAGUGGAUUGAGAGAACUCCCUGUCAUUAUGAUGUUGAUGGAAGUGACCGCCAAUGCAGGUCAGAAAAUCGGAGCCCUUGUGGAUCUGGCUUCGGACACCAAUUAUAUAACUCAUAAAGCAGCCAACAGGUUGAAUCUUAGGAGUGAGAAGAUCACACUUGUUGUGCAUGGAGUUGGUGGAAUGGCUACCAAAGUAGCCACAAGAAGAUACCUCCUCAGAGUUCGAAUCAAAACCUCCAAGGGAACUGAGAGGGCUCAUGAACUAAUCUGUUAUGGGCUGAAGGAGAUCGCCAAAGUUCACCAGGUUGUUAGGCCUGAAGAGCUGAGGAAAUUCUUCCCAGAAGUUGAACUUGAGGAGCUAAGAAGACCUGAGGAGAUUGAAUUGCUCAUAAGUCACAGAGAAGGGAGACUUGCCCCACAAAGGGUGAAAGUUGUGGGAGAUCUUGUCUUGUGGGAGAGUCCUCUUGGAAAGACGGUGGGCGGAGCACACCCUGAUCUGUUUGAGCAAGUGAACAUGGCGGCACAUGAGUCAAAGACGCAUUUUGCUCGUUCUAUGAGAACAGCUGCCAUCAAAUAUGAGGAGAUCCCUACUGAGGUCCCCUUCAUGGCGAAGACACUUCACAUUCAAGACACCAUCGUUGAAUCUAGGCAUACAGCCGCAACUCACCGUGACUUCCUUGAAUGGUGGAAAUGGGACAGUAUCGGUGCAGCCUGCGAGCCGAAAUGUGGUGGAUGUCGUUGUGGGAAUUGUCAGCCUGGAGGAAAGGAGAUGACCUUAGCAGAGGAGAGGGAACUUGAAAUAAUAAAAGAUGGCCUUACGUACAUCAUAGAGGAUGAACACAGCAAGUCUCCACACUGGGAUGCAAGGUAUCCUUGGAUAAUGGACCCUGCUUGCCUUCCCAAUAACCGGAGUGGAGUUGAGGCCACCUUCUUAAGAACUGAGAGAAGGCUCAGGAAGGAACCAGAGUGGCUUGCUGCUUACACUGCUCAAGUCCACGAGAUGGUCGACCGUGGAGCUGCAAAGAGACUCACAAAGAAGAUAAUUGAGGACUGGAGAGGACCAGUUUGGUACGUGAGUCAUCUAGUAGCACCAAAUCCCCACUCAGUCACUACUCCAGUGCGCCUUGUGUGGAACAGCAGUCAAAAGUUCAAGGGAGUGAGCAUGAACGACCUGCUGCUCAAAGGGCCAGAUGUCUUGAACCCCAUCAGAGCUGUCCUGCUAAGGUUUAGGAAAGGAGUGCAUGCAGCCUUAGGAGACAUCAGGAAGAUGUAUAACUCGGUGUGGCUGGAGGAACGUGAGAUGCAUCUGCACAGAUUCCUUUGGAGGGACCGGCAGGAUGAAGAGAUAGGGGAGUACGCCGUCACAAGGGUGAAUAUAGGAGACAGGCCUGCUGGAUGCAUAGCACAGCUGGCUAUGCGUGAAACAGCAAGGCUUACCAAAUUUGUUCACCUGGAGGAGGCACGAAGGGUGCUGGAGGAAGACAGCUACGUGGAUGAUGUCCUCACAUCCCACAAUGAUGCAAACAGACUUAGUGAAGUGACCAAGGAGAUUGAGGAGAUUCUCCAAGCAGGUGGUUUUUCUCUGAAGCCAUGGGUCCAGUCUGCGCAAAGUGGGAGGCAGGAAAAUGGAGUAACAGACCUCAUGACAAGGACGCUCUCUGAGAAGCACAAAACGCUUGUCCUGCCAAAUCAGAUGAGAGAUGAGGACAACAAGGCAUUAGGCAUUGGAUAUCUAGCAGAGGAAGACAAACUCUACAUGAUGGCAUCAAUCAACUUCUCCAGAAGGAGAGGGAAGAUGAGAACGGGCCAAGACCUGUCUGUGGAGGAGGUGAGAUCAAAAACGCCUGAUCCUCUUACCAGAAGACUACUGCUGAGUCAGGUUGCUGGGCUCUAUGACCCAAUUGGACUGGUAACGCCACUAAAGCAGAAAGGUGCCAUCCUCGUUAGGAAAGCGUUCCAGGAAGCAGGGAGUGGAAAUCUGGCCCAAAACACCUGGGACAAGCCACUUUCUGAGGGCCUUAGGGAGGAGGCCAUCAAGCUGUUUGAAGAGUAUGCACAGCUGGGACAAGUAAAGUUUCAGAGAAGCCUUACACCAUUAGGCUGGAAGGGGAAACCUUGGGCUAUUACCUUCUCAGACGGUAGUGACAAGUCCUACGGAGCUGUUCUGUACCUUAGAUGGGAAACGGAUGAAGGUAUAGACAUCAGGUUGCUGGAAUCUAAGGCCAAGCUGACGCCACUGGACCAGAAAGGAGAUGCUGUAAAAGCUGAGGUCUGUGGCGCUGUGUUUGCUGCCAGACUGAGAAAGUAUGUGGAGAGGCAUGGCCGGAUGGAGAUAGAGCGCUGGUUUCAUCUAGUUGACAGCCAGACUGUAUUGGGAGCCAUUCAGCGAGACAGCUAUGGCUACCAGACGUUCUUUGCCAACAGGAUAGGAGAAAUCCAAAAGUCUGUCUCAGUUGAAGACUGGUGGUGGAUCCCAGGGAACCUCAAUAUAGCAGACACCAUUACAAGGGGAGCUUCUCUGAAAGAUCUGCAAGAGACAUGGCAAAGUGGACCGGAUUUUUUGAGGAAGCCAUUAGAAGAAUGGCCAAUAAAGUCAGCUAGGGAAGUGGUAGCUGAUGCAAGGGACAGCAUUAGUAAGCUACAGAGGAAGGCUUUUUCAGCAGUAAUGACAAGAGGUCAAGUGAAGAGAUGCCACGGGGUCACCUCCCAGGAGCACACUAAAGCUGAAGACUCUGUUGAAAGGAAUGGUGCUGAACCUACUCACCUGACUGUCUGCCCUGAUGCAUCAGAAAUUGAUCCAGGAGUGAAACAGGGUGAAGUUGCAAUGAGGAAGACACUUACCGGUUCAGCUGUCAAAAAUCUUUUGGAGGUGAAGAGGUUUAGUUGCUUGUCCAGACUGGUGAAUGUCAUUGCUUGGAUAAGACAGGCUGCUGACAUCUGGCUAGGCCUGAAAUAUCAGACCCAAAAGAAAUCAAAGUGGGAGGCAUCACCCUCAAAAGGAGAAUGUAAAGUUCUUACUCUCAGUGUUGAAAACUGUGAGUAUGCCUUCAGAACUCUCUCCUUCGCAGCUCAAGAAGGCAUAACAUUCCCUGACACUACUCUCAACCGGCUAGUGGUGGUUAAGCACAAAGAUGGACUCCUUCUCUGCGGCGGCAGAAUCCAGGCCUUCAGAGAAGAUAAGUCUUUAGUGCCCAUUCUCCCUCAAGACGCAUGGAUUUCUACACUGCUUGCUCAAGAAGCACACAAUGUCAAUCAUGAGGGUAUAGCAGGAACACUGUUGAGGAUGAGAAGAAAAGCCUGGGUGGUUAAGGGAAGAAGGAUAGCCAAAAAAGUAGUGGACAGUUGUGUCAUCUGCAAAAAAGCGAGAGGAAAGAGAUGCAAACAAAUAAUGAGCGACUUACCGCCUGAGCGGACCACACCAGCAGCCCCAUUUCAGUUCACUGCUGUGGAUCUAUUUGGGCCAUAUGAAGUGAAAGAUGAGGUGAAGAAGAGAGCGAGGCUGAAAGUGUGGGGUAUCGUGUUCAGUUGCAUGGCAUCCAGAGCCAUUCAUGCUGAUAUUGUCAGUGAUAUGUCUGCAGAAGGAUUUCUGCUGGCCUACCAGAGAUUUACGUCGCUGAGGGGACACCCCAGCAAGGUAUGGUCUGACCCAGGCACCAACUUUGUCGGGGCCAAACCUGCCCUUGAAGACCUGUAUCGGUUCCUGGAGCACCUGGAAAGAUCAGGGUUGGAGGAAAAGGCAGCCAAGCAUGGCACAAAGUGGACCUGGAAGAUACAUCCUGCGGACUCGCCUCAUAGAAAUGGAGCAGCUGAGGCAGCAGUGCGAACUGUAAAGAGAGCACUCCAGAACGUAGGGGGCAAUGGAGUCUUCACAUGGGGAGAAUUCCAGACGUUUGUGUAUAUGGCAGCCAAUCUGGCCAAUGAGAGGCCUGUAGAUGCGAGAGCACAAAGCCAAGAAGAUUGUGUGGAGUAUAUCACUCCAAACUCCCUCCUGCUGGGGCGGUCGAGCUUGAGAGGAGACCCAGGAGACUUCCAGUUUGAAGGUUACCCCUACAAAAGGCUGCGAGUGAUCCAGUCAGAGGUAAAUAAGUUUUGGAAGAAGUGGUGUCAAUUGGCAGGCCCGAACCUCUUCGUUAGAAGCAAAUGGCACACGAAGGAGAGGAAUGUUGCAGUAGGAGAUGUUGUGUGGCUUGCGGAUCAGAACGCCUUAAGAGGUCAGUUCAAAUUAGGCAGAGUGAUCAGUGCAUGCCCUGACGAGAAAGGAGUCGUGAGAGACGUCAAAGUCAGGACGUUUCCCAGCUAUCCAGUCAUGAUCAAGAAGCCAUCCCAUGAAGAACAUAGUAGGAGUACUCCAGCAGCAAAGAACAACAAGAUCCCUGCUACAGUCCUACACAGAGACGUCAGACGUCUUGUUGUGUUGAUUCCUGUGGAGGAGCAAUGAAGAGAAGAUCCGGCACGCUCCAGAGAAACAGGACGUGACCUCCUUGGGUUCUGGAACCAGGAGCUCAAGUGGGAGGUGUGCUGUUGGAUCGCAAGUGGAAAGGGACUUUUGUUUUGAGUGAAAAAAAAAAAGAGACUUUUAUUUUGAAAAGGGAAGUGGAGACUUUACAGUUCUCAUGCCAGAAAGCAGGAAGUGCAGAGCUAUCUUCAAGCACAUGUAGUAAGAAGCUGUGAAGUUUAGCUGAGAAGCACAUGGUGAAUUGUUAUUGAAGAUAAAGGGUGAAGUGGGGAAAGACUUUACUUGCUGGGCAUUUCCAGGGAUGCUACUGGUUUUCAACCUGACGCAAUCUGACAUAGCCUGAUGUAAACUGAUUUAAUCUGAGUUAAACUUCUGAUUAUUUG